rnacentral:rRNA from 1 species
CUCAGAAGAAGCUCCGGCCAACUACGUGCCAGCAGCCGCGGUAAUACGUAGGGAGCAAACGUUGUCCGGAUUUAUUGGGCGUAAAGGGCUCGUAGGCGGUUCAACAAGUCGAUCGUGAAAGCCCGGGGCUCAACCCCGGGAGGCCCGUCGAAACUGUUGUGACUAGAGUUCGGUAGAGGUGAGUGGAAUUCUCGGUGUAGCGGUGGAAUGCGCAGAUAUCGAGAGGAACACCAUUAGCGAAGGCGGCUCACUGGGCCGAUACUGACGCUGAGGAGCGAAAGCGUGGGGAGCAAACAGGAUUAGAAACCCUGGUAGUCCACGCCGUAAACGAUGAACACUAGAUGUAGCGGACUGAUUCACGUCUGCUGUGUCGAAGCUAACGCAUUAAGUGUUCCGCCUGGGGAGUACGGCCGCAAGGCUAAAACUCAAAGGAAUUGACGGGGCCCCGCACAAGCGGCGGAGCAUGCGGCUUAAUUCGAUGCAACCCGAAGAACCUUACCUGGGUUUGACAUCAUGGGUCUAGCUGUGGAAACACAGUGUGCGUAAGCGCCCAUGACAGGUGGUGCAUGGCUGUCGUCAGCUCGUGUCGUGAGAUGUUGGGUUAAGUCCCGCAACGAGCGCAACCCUUGUCCUAUGUUGCCAGCACGUAAUGGUGGGGACUCAUGGGAGACUGCCGUGGACAACACGGAGGAAGGCGAGGACGAUGUCAAGUCAUCAUGCCCCUUAUAUCCAGGGCUGCACGCAUGCUACAAUGGGCGAUACAAUGGGUCGCGAUCCCGCGAGGGUCAGCUAAUCCCGUAAAGUCGUCCUCAGUUCGGAUUGGAGUCUGCAACUCGACUCCAUGAAGCCGGAGUCGCUAGUAAUCGUGGAUCAGCAAAGCCACGGUGAAUACGUUCUCGGGGCUUGUACACACCGCCCGUCACAUCACGGAAGUCGGUAACACCCGAAGUCAGUGGCCUAACCCUUGUGGAAGGAGCUGCCGAAGGUGGGAUUGGUGACUGGGAUGAAGUCGUAACAAGGUAACC